AACGAACGUUGGCGGCGUGGAUUAGGCAUGCAAGUCAUACGGGAUCCGGGGUAACUCGGGUCUAGUGGCGAACGGGUGAGUAUCGCGUGGGAAACCUGCCCUUGAGAUGGGGAUAACACCUCCAACGGGGUGCUAAUACCGAAUAAGACCACGGAGUCGCAUGGCUCUGCGGUCAAAGGUGGCCUCUACUCGUAAGUUACCACUUAAGGAUGGUCCCGCGUCCCAUUAGCUAGUUGGUAGGGUAAUGGCCUACCAAGGCUACGAUGGGUAGCUGGUCUGAGAGGAUGGUCAGCCACACUGGGACUGAGAUACGGCCCAGACUCCUACGGGAGGCAGCAGUCGAGAGGCUUCGGCAAUGGGGGAAACCCUGACCGAGCGACGCCGCGUGGGCGAUGAAGGCCGUUAGGUUGUAAAGCCCUGUCGAGCGGGAAAAAUUGUAGGCGGGUGAAUAAUCCGCUUAUUUGAUGGUACCGUUAAAGGAAGCUCCGGCCAACUCCGUGCCAGCAGCCGCGGUAAUACGGGGGGAGCGAACGUUGUUCGGAAUUACUGGGCGUAAAGGGCGUGCAGGCGGUCCUGUAAGAGAGUUGUGAAAUGCCCUGGCUCAACCAGGGAAAUGCACCUCUGACUGCAGGACUUGAGUAUGGGAGAGG
rnacentral:rRNA from 1 species